ensembl:lncRNA
CCCCCUGCUAUGUGCGGGGUCGCCCACCAGCAGCCCAGGCUGCCCAGAGCCACAUCCAGCCUGGCCUUGAAUGCCUGCAGGCAUCCACAGCCUCCUUGGGCAACCUGUUCAGUGCGUCACCACCCUCUGGGGGAAAAACUUCCUCCUCAUAUCCAACCUAAACCUCCCCUGUCUCAGUUUCAAACCAUUCCCCCUUGUCCUAUCACUAUCCACCCUCAAACAGCCAUUCCCCCUCCUGUUUAUAAGCUUCCUUCAAGUACUGGGAGAUGCUGAAGAGCACCUGUGGCAGC